rnacentral:misc_RNA from 1 species
AUGCUUGAUUUUGGGGUUGCGGCGUCAAGCUGCAGCCCUCAAGUCCACGGGCGGUUCCAGUAGGUUCUAUGCGUAGUAAUUUCUCCUCGCUACAGAACUUUGCCGGCACAUUUGGUAUUAAGCCCAGCAAUGGCGACUCCAAGCUUAACACCCAAUUUUAGUUUGACCUCGGAUCAAGUAGGGAUACCCGCUGAACUUAA